rnacentral:rRNA from 1 species
ACAGGAAACAUGAAGGGUGCGCGGUGGAUGCCUAGGCUUAGAACAGCGAUGAAGGACGCGAUUAACCGGCGAAACGUUUCGGGGAGGUGGUAUUUAACCUUUGAUCCGGAAAUAUCCGAAUGGGGAAACCCAAGUCCAAGUGACUUAUCCUGCUUGCAGGAUGCGAACCUCGGGAAGUGAAACAUCUCAGUACCGAGAGGAACAGAUAACAAAAACGAGUAGUGUUCCGUGCGAACGUUAUGUUCGUUCGUAUGGAACACUACUCUCGUGAUUCCCUUAGUAGCGGCGAGCGAAACGGGAAAAGCCCAAACCAGAAUCUUCGGAUUGUGGGGUUGUAAGGCAGAAGCACCAUACUUGUAUGGCAAGAGUUACAAAUGGUUCAUAUAGUGGAAGCUGCUGGGAAGCAGCACCCUAGAGGGUAAUGGUCCCGUACACGAAAUAUGUAACCGCUCUUGUGCUUCUGUUCUUGAGUAGCUCGAGACACGAAUAGCUCGAGUGAAUCUGCCGGAACUAACCGGUAAGGCUAAAUAUGUUCUAAGACCGAUAGUGAACUAGUACCGUGAGGGAAAGGUGAAAAGAACCCCGAGAGGGGAGUGAAAUAGAACUGAAACCGCGCACUUACAAAGGGUCACGGGGGGCUAUAAGUCCUUCGUGGCGUGCCUAUUGAAGAAUGAGCCUGCGAGUGUAUGUAUGUCGCUUGGCUAAGUCCGUAACGGGACGUAGCCGUAGGGAAACCGAGUGUGAAUAGCGCGUCUGUGUCAUACAUACGACCCGAAGCAGUGUGAGCUUGCCAUGAGCAGGGUGAAGUUUGUCGAAAGACAGAUGGAGGCCCGAACCCGUAGAUCGUACAACGUCUUGGGAUGACUUGUGGUAAGGAGUGAAAAGCUAAUCGAACACUGUAAUAGCUGGUUCUCUCCGAAACAUCUUUUGGGAUGGCGUCAUGUGAUCCUUCCGGGGGUAGAGCACUGGAAGGGGCAAACAGGGAGAAAUCUCGUUGUCCCUAUCAACCUCCGAAUACCGGAAGUCUACAGCAUGGCAGUUAGACCAUGGGGGCGAAGCUCCAUCGGUCAAAAAGGGAAGAGCCUAGAUCGCCAGUUAAGGCCCCAAAAUCGACACUGAGUACAACUUAAGGAAGUGAGGAUCCUUUGACAAUGAGGAUGUUGGCUUAGAAGCAGCCACCAUUUAAAGAAAGCGUAACAGCUCACUCAUCGAGGGUCCUUGCGCCGAAGAUAAUCGGGGUUAAGUGUCGUGCCGAAACUGCGGGCACGGGCAUCCUUCGGGAUGUCAGUGCGGUAGGAGAGCGUUCCGUUCUGCGAUGAAGGUGAAGGGGUGACCCACACUGGAGCGUACGGAAGUGAGAAUGCAGGUACAAGUAACCACAAUGCGGGUGAGAACCCCGCACGUCGAAAGAGCAAGGUUUCCGCAGCUAUGAUGAUCAUCUGCGGGUUAGUCGGGCCUAAGGGGAUGGCGAAAGCCGCACCCGAUGGACACAUGGUUAAUAUUCCAUGACCGAGCAUAUGUGCGAUGGAGUGACGGACUGCUGUACCGUGAGCCCACAAUUGGAUGUGGGUCCGUGCCAUGAGGGGGUGUAUUAGGAAAAUCCGGUACACACUACUCCAAGUGGAGCGGCAAUUUUCUUCUUCGGAGGAAGAGAGUCAAGGGAGCGCGGUUCCAAGAAAAGCUUCUAAGCUUCAACAUAUGCCGACCGUACCGAAAACCGACACAGGUGCUCGGGUCGAGAAGACUAAGACGAACAAGUGAGAGGUCCUCAAGGAACUCGGCAAAAAAGCGGCCGUAAGUUAGCGAUAAGGCCUGCCCAUAGCAAUAUGGGCCGCAGCGAAAGACUCCCUGGCAACUGUUUACCAAAAACACAGCUCCCUGCGAACUCGUAAGAGGAUGUAUAGGGGGUGACACCUGACCAAUGCCGGAAGGUCAACUACGGAGGGUACCCAACUUCGGUUGUGUGCUGGACUGUAUAAGCCCCGGUGAAUGUCGGCGAUAACUAUAAUCGUCCUAAGGUAGCGUAAUUCCUUGUCUGGUAAGUUCAGACGUGCACGAAUGGUGUAAUGACUGGGGAACUGUCUCGAGGACUCGCUUGGUGAAAAUGCACUACCGGUGAAGAUGCCGGUUACCUGUAGUUAGACGAAAAGACCCCAGGAGCUUUACUACAGCUUCGUAUUGGGGCUGCGUGAUUCAUGCGUAGCAUAGGUGGGAGACUUUGAAGCGUACCUUUCGGGGGACGUGGAGUCGCCAGUGAAAUACCACUCUUGAAUUGUGCAGUUCCUAACCGAUGUAUAGAACUACAUCGGGACCGUGCGUGGCGGGUAGUUUUAGUGGGGCGCUAUCCUCCUAAAAAGUAACGGAGGAGUCUAUUAAGGUCCUCUAGGCGCGAAUGGAAACCGUGCCGAUAGUGUAAUGGCAUAAGAGGGCUUAACUGAAAGACGUACAUGUCGAUCAGAUGCGAAAGCAGAGCAUAGUGAACCGAUGGUCCGCCUUAGAUGCGGCCAGAGAUUAACGGAUAAAAGUUACCCUGGGGAUAACAGGCUAGUUCCGCCCAAGCGUCCAUAGCGACGGCGGAGUUCGGCACCUCGAUGUCGGCUCACCUUAGCGCGGGGCUGGAGAAGGUCCCAAGCGUUUGGCUGUUCGCCAAUUAAAAAGGUACGCGAGCUGGGUUCAGACCGUUCAGGUAUUGAUCUUGUAUCAAUACUUGAACCCGUCUGAAUCCCACGAGAUAUUGUUAUCAGAAUACUAAGAAUGUUUUUUCGUCUAUAAAAGAUUUGCUUCGUUCGUUAAUUAAGUGCAGACGAAGUAAGGAACCAACUCAUAUUGCGGCGGUCAUGUGUAGGGAUACACAAUGACAUUACUGACUUAUAUCGGAAGAACCCCAUGCGGGCGAUUCCGAGGGAAGGCCAAAAGCCACCCGUAGAGACUGAACGUCAGUCACGAAGAACUCGUGAAGUAACAGUCCGAUCCUCCAAGUAAUUGGAGUAUAUAAAAAACGAAAUGCGUGAGACAGGUUGGUCUCCUAUCUACUACAGGCGUUGAUUCUUGCGGAGGGUCGUCCCUAGUACGAGAGGACCGGGAUGAACUGACCUCUGGUCUGCCUGCUGUCACGCCCGUGGCAUCGCAGGGUAGCUAUGUCGGGUUUAGAUAACUGCUGAAAGCAUAUAAGCGGGAAGCUAGCUCCAAGAUAAGGAAUCGUUGAGACACCUUGAAGAUUACGAGGUUGAUAGGUUCUAGGUGUACGGUCAGUAAUGACUUCAGCCGAGGAAUACUAAUAUGUCGAGUUUUCUGUGC